rnacentral:sRNA from 1 species
AUGUGCUACGCGUCCACCCGGGUUUCUGCGUGCCGUCCACAUCCGUCCGGCGACCGCGCGUUACGUUUUGUCACUC